rnacentral:rRNA from 1 species
UACGUAGGCAGCGAGCGUUGUUCGGAAUUACUGGGCGUAAAGAGUGCGUAGGCGGUGCUCUAAGUCUGUUGUGAAAUCUCCCGGCUCAACUGGGAGCUUGCAGGCGAAACUGCCGUGCUGGAGUGUGGGAGAGGUGCGUGGAAUUCCUGGUGUAGCGGUGAAAUGCGUAGAUAUCAGGAGGAACACCUGUGGCGAAAGCGGCGCACUGGACCACAACUGACGCUGAGGCGCGAAAGCGUGGGGAGCAAACAGG